UUUGUUAUCAUAUAAAUUAAUCAAUAGUCUACUGGUGUUAAACCAUCUUAUGUGAUACUAAAGAUUAGACUCUUAGGGUCUUAGAAUGAAUAUAGUUGUCAAUUUGGCCCAUGGCCUAUGAGCAAGCCUUGGUGAUACGUCAAUGCAUGAGGUAGCUUGCAGAUCCGUGAGUUCAGAGGCAGAAUGAGGCAGAACGGUUGAAGCACUUCAAUGGAACAGUGCUCGGCAGAAGCAAGCCANAUCUGGAUGCUCAUCAAUGUAAAGUUGUUGGAAGUUUUAGGAUGGUAGGCAGCGGAAGUAGUGAAACUAUGGUGAAGGGAGAUGGAUGUUAGCUUAGAAGAAUGAAUCACAACUCAGAAGGCUCCCAUGAUAUGGAAGGAAGUUGCAAUGAAGCUAGGAAGAUGACUCUUGGAGAGGAACUUGCUAAUCAUGUCAGCAGAGUUUCAACAAUAUGAUUCCAAAAGUGAAGAUACAACUAUGCCAAGGAGGUUUUAUAACUCAACCUCUCGGCUAUGCAUGGGAAAACUCAUCUACACGUUUCAGAUCUCAUUCCUACUAAUAAACCAUGUGCUAAAUGCGGAUGGCUUCUAGAAAGCCUUAUGAAGCAUGUGAUACAAAAGCUAUGCGCAUAAGGAGGAUAGAAACACUAAUGCCACCCCUAUGAUGCUAGACACACCGCCUCCUUAUGUAAAAAUGACCAUUUUACCCCUCUCCAUGUUCUUGGGUUGUUCUUUAUUUGGUGGGUUUGGGCCCCGCGUAUCA
rnacentral:lncRNA from 1 species